rnacentral:rRNA from 1 species
CCUACGAGCGGCAGCAGUGGGGAAUAUUGGGCAAUGGGCGCAAGCCUGACCCAGCAACGCCGCGUGAAGGAAGAAGGCUUUCGGGUUGUAAACUUCUUUUAAGAGGGAAGAGCAGAAGACGGUACCUCUUGAAUAAGCCACGGCUAACUACGUGCCAGCAGCCGCGGUAAUACGUAGGUGGCAAGCGUUGUCCGGAUUUACUGGGUGUAAAGGGCGUGCAGCCGGGAAGACAAGUCAGAUGGGAAAUCCCGGGGCUCAACCGCGGAACUGCAUUUGAAACUGUUUUUCUUGAGUACCGGAGAGGUCAUCGGAAUUCCUGGUGUAGCGGUGAAAUGCGUAGAUAUAAGGAAGAACACCAGUGGCGAAGGCGGAUGACUGGACGGCAACUGACGGUGAGGCGCGAAAGCGUGGGGAGCAAACAGGAUUAGAUACCCGGGUAGUC